UGGCUUAGAAGCAGCCAUCAUUUAAAGAGUGCGUAAUAGCUCACUAGUCGAGUGACACUGCGCCGAAAAUGUACCGGGGCUAAACAUAUUACCGAAGCUGUGGAUUGUCCUUUGGACAAUGGUAGGAGAGCGUUCUAAGGGCGUUGAAGCAUGAUCGUAAGGACAUGUGGAGCGCUUAGAAGUGAGAAUGCCGGUGUGAGU
rnacentral:rRNA from 1 species